CACACGUUUCCGGGACCCUACACGGCCCCAACUUAAAAAGUCAUGAAUAGAAUUUUGGUUCCACUCAUCAAGAUCUACAUUUCAUACAUAGCAUAUUUUUGCAUUUGACAAAGUGUUACGAAAGUGUAGUUCUAAAUCCAAAGGUCUCACAUAUAGAGUUUCAUAAAGUUUGUGAGAUUACAUGAUGACCAGAGUUUACAUGAUGAAUGACAAAUACAAUCUAGGCAGUUACUAUUCUUCCUUGUCGAUCAGAGCGCACCCAAGGAAAAGAACUUUGUGAGAUGCUUCGCUCAACAUUUCUUAUCUUCGCAGGAUGGUCGUCCACAAAAUGGGACAUGUCGCUGAACUGGUUAAAAUCCUCCAGAUCUGCUACACCAUCAACUCCUAUUGUUUGUUGCUUUCCUGGAAAAACUACAUGCUUCGGCUUGUCAAUAGUUUUCUUCUCAUUCUUAGAAAGGAACGGUUCAGCAUAGAAGACCUAUGCAGCACGGUUAGCAAGGAUCCACGGGUCAUCUUUGUAUCCCACCUUACUUAGAUCAAGAACUCUAACCCCAUAAUUAUCCACUGUAACAUGUUUAUCUUCUACGCAUUGACAUCGAAACACGGGGAUCUAAAAUGUACCAUAGUCUAGUUUUCAUAUGUCCUCGAUGAAGCCAAAGUAUGUAAUAAUAUCACCAGUUUCGUCGUCUAUGGCCUCCCAUCGAACACCACUAUUUUGUGGCAUGCCUGGACCAUCAGCGUCGAUAUUCGCAGGGUCUCCAAUUGUAUAAGGUGCCGAGCUACCCUCUCAAUGCUUCGUCUCACCAUCUUAAGCAACCUCAUACAUGAAAAAUGCAUAUUGCAUAAUUAAAUCAAAUUUACAUAAAAAAUAACAUCCUAAACAAUAUAAUUUAAAAAACUAAAAAAGAAAACCAAUCUUUCUCUCUCUUCCCAAGCAUAAAAACACCAUUCAUGGAAACCACUACAUAUAUAUUUCUUGGUUUCACUAAUUAGAGAAAGAAACAUGAAAAUGGGGAGAGGAGAGACAUCAUCUAACGAUCUUAAGCAACCUCAUUUGAUCAAAUAUAGUGCAUACCAAGCUAGUCUACUCUCUCCCUCUCAUGGUGAAACCCUAGAUCCAAAAAAAAAUAAUAGCUCAAUUGAGCAAGAGGGCACAAACAGAGGCAUUAGAGGCAUGAACUAACCUUUCUUAGCCCCCUCCUUCCAAGAAAUGAAGAUCAAAACCUCCUCCUUUGUAUUUUGGAAAAUCUAGGUCUCCAAGAUGGCCUCCAAUGGAAGGUGGCUGCUAGCAACAGUUCUGCCCGAGGAGGAAGAAGGGAGAUUGGGGGUAUUUAUAGAAAGAAUAGCACAAGCGGUUUGCUUAAGAAACCGCCUCUAUUUAACACAGGCGGUUCAAAUAACUGAACCGCCGGUGUAAAUGGAGCAUUAAGAUUGGCGAUUCAGUUAUGUGAACCGCAUGUGUUAAUCUAUUUACAC
rnacentral:lncRNA from 1 species